rnacentral:sRNA from 3 species
CCCUGGCCCCGAUAGGAAUGGAAAUCCUUUUGUGCCGGUCCCGAUAGCUAUCGGGAGACACAAAAGAUUAUUGUGGAUAGCGGGAAAUAGU